rnacentral:tRNA from 1 species
AGAGAUGUGGCGUAGUGGUGACGCGCUCCCCUCGGGCGGGAGAGUCGUCAGUUCGAUUCUGACCAUUUCUGCCA